GACUCUGGGCAACGGAUAUCUCGGCUCUUGCAUCGGUGAAGAACGCAGCGAAAUGCGAUACCUGGUGUGAAUUGCAGAAUCCCGUGAACCAUCGAGUGUUUGAACGCAAGUUGCGCCCGAGGCCACUCGGCCGAGGGCACGCCUGCCUGGGCGUCA
rnacentral:rRNA from 1 species